CAGACUCUGAAAGGGCUGGGCCGAAUGUUACAGAAUGGCCACCCACAGCAGGUCCCUCUGCCCACGGCAGUGACUGGAGUCUGUCGCUUCUUCUUGUGAAACAUUCAGGCAAGAGGUGAAGAAGGAAGCAACAUCCUUGCAGGUGGGCUGGAUGGACACGAACCUUCAGCAGGUACUCACACAACUCCUGCGGAGUUCAGAUGACAAAGGUGACACACAGUCCAGGUCAGAUGGAUCAACCUGCAGCAAACAAGUUAUAUUCCAGCUCAUGAACAGCUUUCCAGGAAAAAAAAAGGAUCAAAUGAAGAGCUAACAUCACAGAUGUGGCUGCUGGAUCUUCAAAGCUGUAUUCAUUUCACUUGCCUCUGACCAUCUGAAAACUAAGCAUUUAGUCAGUGUAUGUGUUGAAGAUGCCUGUAGUCACUGGAGAGAAACCAGUCCUUCCAGGAGGCAAUGUGAGCUAUUCUGACAACCUCAAAACCAAAAAUUUAAAGGAGAAGAUGCCAAAUAUCCGGUGGUCAGCACCAGCGAUGGGAGCCCCCAGUUCAGAUCUUCCCUCUUCUGCAGUGCUGCUGGGAACUCUCUGUCCCUUCUUCUGAGGCUACUCCACUUCACCAAAACCCCUUGCGUGCUCAUUGCUGGCAGGGGUUGCAACAAGGGCUCUGAAAGGAAUGCUUUUACAUUUGUGGCUGACUUCCAGAUUUGCAGACCAGAAUCACAGAAAAAAUUGGUUUGGAAGAGACCUCUACAGAUUGUUUGGUCCAGCCUUCUUACCUAAGCUGGGCAACUUCUCUGGUGGACUAGGCUGCUCAGCGCUAUGCCCAGUGGAGUUUUGAAUGCCUCCAAGGACAGAGAUGGCACAGCCUUUCUGGGCAGCCUCCUCCAGUGUUUGACCACCAUCAUGGUGAAAUUCUGUUCCUUGGUGCAACUGAUGUCUUUUGCCUCUUGUCCUUUCACUGUUCUUCCUCCAGGAAGUGUCUGGCUUUCUCCUCCAUAAAAGCACCCACUGGACAGCUGAGGACGUCUUGCCUUCUCCACACUGAGUGGCUCCUUCAGCUUCUCCUCACAGACCCCCAACCAUUUUCGUAGCCAUUUGCUGGACUUGCUCCAGUGUGUCCAUGUCCUGCUGGUGUAGGGUAGCCCAAAAGUUGUCACGCUACUCCAGAUGUGGUCUCAGAAGUGCUAAAAAGAGAACAAUCACUUCCUUGAGUUGCUGCCUUCAGUCUCACCAGUACAGCCUAGUUUGUGGUCAACCUUCAUCACCACAAAAGCAUGCUGAUAACUCAUUGAAAGAGCAGUGAAGACUUUAGACAUAAAUUGGAACUACUGGAGAGGAAGAAAUAUAAUGCGAAUGAAGGAAUAUUUUCCAAUACAACAUCCUAAUUUCAGUUGUCUGCAACUGUUUGAAGCUUCUACUUUAAGACGAAACCUUGGAAUAAUCACAAAGAUUAACUUUAGACACUAACUAUAGAUUUCUACACUUAGGGAAUAUUUCUGGUGACGGAGUUCAGAAUAAGCAAGCAACUCCACCUACAGGCUUGAGAUACAAUACAGAGGGGCAUUUGAAACUUUUGAGGUGAAUCACUGUCUUUGGGCUCACUUCUUCAUUAUAUUUGCAGACAAAACUUUGUUUUGUCUGUAAUGAAGUUAAAUGUAAGAUUCAUCACACCCAUCCACACCUUCAGCUAUCUUACGUGAAACUGGCUAUGUAUUUUCUUGAAAAUGUGUGUUUUGAUUCUGUCUCUCCUCCAAGGCACUACAAUGUUUCCUCCAAGUCCUUUCCACUACAGUCCUUUCCUCUACAGAGUAGAUAUUCAUGAGAAAAGGUAAAUUUAGCCUUAAAUCAGAUAUUUUUCUGUCUUACAAGUCUAACUCUACAGAUGACACUUUAAGAGGAAAAACAAAGGGAAGGAAGGGGCAGGAUGCAUUUAACAUUUGCCCAAGUAUGUUAGAAAUGUGGGAAUCAUCUGAUUGCUAUCACAGGCAACUGUACUAUUGAUGUCUGGGUUAGAAGGGUCUACAAAACAUCUAUUCCACUUGUCACCAGCCUCCACAGGUCGCAAAUCACUCUGAUACCCAAUAAUCAACAUAAGACUUGUGGUAAGUGAAUCACAGGUGAAAAUAAUAAUGAACCACAGGAAGUGGCAUGGAGAGAAGCCAGAGAGAAAACCAGAGAAGGACUGAGAUUAGGUCCUAUGUAUAUAUAUGUGUAUGCAUAUGUACACAAACACCAGUGACCUAUGUCCCUGUGGCACAGCAUUUUGCCAGGUAGAAUGGCCAGCUGACCCUGGGGAUCAUUUUGUACUCCACACAAUAGAAAGCUAAAGCCCCCAACUUUUUGUCUUUGCCAAGCCAACAGGAUAUAAAAAUCUGUCUAGACAUGAAAUCUAGCUUACAGGCUGAUACGGAGUGUCUAAGUAGGACAGGGAACUGGGGACAUUAGACAUUAUUGCCACUAAGAGUCUGUGAACCUUUAGGCAGUGUUUGCAGCGCUCCAGGGAAAAGCAAACCUCUCCCCCUGUGUGGCAUGACACCACACAUGCCAGGGAAUGUAGCCAGCAAAUAAGAGGAUUCAGAAGGCAGAAAUAGCAACCCAGGCCCUAUCAGACUCAGGAUAAUAGUAAAAUAAAAUCCUACUUGUAUGAUUUGGCAUGUAUAAGUGAUCUUCUAAAAAAACCCCAGGUGCUACUGCUAAUGGAAUAGUUAAGACAAGUUUGGAUCUUACAACCAAAAGAGUAGUUUCAUUUGUAAAUACGGCUGUCAGCACCACCACCCUGUGCCCAGCUAUAAGGCAUAUUUUUCCAUCUCUUGAAUUUUUUGCUUGUUUAAGGGUUUUUUUCUCACAUAGACAUGUUUAUAUAUACAAAUCGUGAAUAGUGUUUAUGGAAAAAUAUUGGUCAGGAACAAUUAAUUACUUUUACCCCCAGGCACUACUAUAAUGAUCAAACCCAGCUCCAGGGUUAGAGAAAUGUAGACCUUAAACUCCUGGUGCUCCUAAGCAAGAAAAAGUAUAUAUUUUAUCACCAGUUGUUGAAAUUUAUGGCAUUGAAAUAAAGGCCUAGCUAAAGCUGACUCAGCAAAAUGUACUUGUGGCGUGGGCAGAAGAAUGCGUAAGUUAUUUUUGAGGGGGAGAGCAUGCCAUCUAAAUUAAUACAAAGGAAUUGCCUCAUAAGUCAUCUCUACAGUUGCGCCACACUAGACUAGUGAGAAGACCAGAGUUCAACGCUAUACUCAUUCUGCAGAUGUAGUACCGAUUCAUCUGGUUUGGAUCUUCAUGUCGUUUCACACAGGCGAGUUGUAGUGACGCUUGGAUUAAGAAAAGAAGUACACUACCUAGACCAUUUAAACCCACCAUUAAAUCCAAGCUUACUCUUCAAGGAGCCUACUUCCCAUACUAAGAGGCUGUACAGUGUUGCUGAUGACUCCAGUGAAAAUUCUGAAACAUAGUACAUUCCACCAAAAGAGAAAGAAAUACAAGAACACAUAUGAGCAGGCAACACUGCCUGCUAUUAGUGUAUUUUCCCUCUACCUAUAGGGAAACAAAAGCAGUUACAUUUUAAAGCGUAUUCUCACCCUGAGUGUUGCAUUGUAUAGACUUGCAUUUCAAACUUACUAUGAGCUCUCUGAACAAGUCAAUACUGGACAAUAGAGCUAUUGGAAAACAGACAUUUCUUUUCACAGUCCUGGGGUAUUUGGAAACCCUGGUGCUUUGGAUUUUUUUGUUGGGUUUUAUUUUCAUUUUUAGGGAAAAGAGGAGUAUGUGUGUGAAACAAUGAAAAAACUAGGGAAAACUAAAAAAAACUCCUUGAGAAAUUCAUGGACCCCCCUUAACUGUGACAGCCUGCAAGGGGGAUCUGCUUCUGGGCUUUGAAUUAUGGAAUAACUGCUGGGCUCUUGAGAGCAAAGAUGCUUCCAGGACAGACCCUGGGUUCCAGAGGAAUCCAGUCAUAUUUCUCAGGGCCCCCUCACCAAAGUCAGCAUGUUUCUAUUUAUUAUUUUGUGUUUGAGGAACCUGAUGCAUUUCAAUGAAAACUUAUUUUGCUGGAAACUUUCUGGCUCUCUCUGUUUGGGGUAUUCUGUCGCAUAAGCUUUCGCAUAUAUUAAGACACUUCUCUGGUCUGGCUUUGCUCCAGCAAGGCAUGGCCUUGUUCCAGUCUGCUGUUAAUGAUAGUACAGCAGUGACAAAUACCAGUCUGCUCAUUACUGUGCAGAAGAAAUAAACUGCACAAAAUAGUCUAUUUAACAAUAGGGAAAAUGUAAACUUGACGAGGUUUAGAAGCAGACUAAAUAUAGUCAGGCACUGACAACUGUAAGAAGCAUAAUGUAAUCACAUGUUCAUGCUUUUAUUGAGCACAAAGUUCAUUUGAGAAAGAAAAGUGGAGAAUGCUUCACUCGUAAGUGGUAUUGCUUGUAAGGAGAUAGAUGAUUUCUCCAGAGGGUUGCUUGAUGAGGGAUUGAUAUUUUGUUCUCUCAGUUUUAUUUUAUUUUUUUAGAAUGGAAAGUCUUGCUGUUACAAAUUAUAACCUUCCUUUCCAAAGCACAUGUAUCAUUCUUUCUGAUAGGUAUUCAAGGUUUCAGCACUUUGUGACAACACUUUGAAAACUAAGAAAAUGCCCUUUAGCUCCCAGCAUAUCUAUUUUGAAAUUCAUUGCUUGCACUGUUUGUGUGCUGACUGUAACACUACCAGAACAGAAUCGAGAUGCUGAUGACACGCUUGAGCAAAAGGAAAUCAUAUAACCCAGGAUACUCAGUACAGUACAGCCUUGGAAAUGACUGAAGUGCACCAGAGAAAGCAACAAGCUGUAGCUCCUUUUUAGAAAUGGCUUGCUUUUGAGGCUCCUUUUCUCAAAGGAUUGAGCUGCCAGAAGGCCAGGAAGAGCAUUGUUACAAGUCAAAAAAAGAAAACAUCGCUACAACACCUCCAAAAAUUGGACUAAUUCCUGUGUGCUAUUCUGUUGGCUAGUCUCAUAACAAAAGUUUGAAGAUGGUACUUAAAUACUCUAAGAAGUGCAGAAAAGGGCAAAGAGUGUACUGCAGGGAAUUAAAUUAAUGUGUUAUGGAUGAGAAGAGGUUUGGAGAAUACAAUAUCUCCAGGCCUAGAAAGAAGGUGACAAAAGGGGAUCUAAUUGCAUUAUGUAGUCCCUAAGGAGCUCCAUGUAAUAAUGUAUGACAGAAUGUGUUUACACUUGAAGGGAAGAGAUAAAUAAUCCAUAGACCUUGUUUGAAAGGAAGUAAUGGAAAGUUCAGACUAUCCAUGAGAUCCCUAGUGUUUCUCCCAGAAGGCUCUUGGCAGCAUAAAAACAGGCUGACAGAUGAACCAAUUAUACCAGGAAAUAUUUGUGUGUGUAUAUAUAUGUGUAUAUACACACACAUAUAGAAUCAUAGAAUGGUUUGGGUUAGAAGGGAUCUGUAAAGGUCACUUAGUCCAAUCCCCCUGCACUGAACAGGGACAUCUUCAACCACAUCAGGUUGCUGAGCGCCCCCUCCAACCUGACCGUGAAUGCUUCCAGGGAUGGGUCAUCUACCACCCCUCUGGGCAACCUGUGCCAGUGUUUCACCACCCUCAUUAUAAUAAAUUUCUUCCUUAUGUCCCAUGUAAAUCUACCUUCUUUUAGUUUAAAACCAUUGCCCCUCGUGCUAUUGUAACAGGCCCUACUAAAAAGUACGCAUAUUUCAAAGAUGAGAUGUAUUAGAGGACCAGAGAUGAAAAGCAUUUGUUAAUCUAUUAUAACUAAUACACAUGUACAGGUAUUUCUGCCUACUUUUUAACUGACUUUUUUUUUUACUUCUAUUGAGCCUGUGCAUGUCUUCCCUUC